CAGCCGCCGCGGUAAUACGGAGGGGGCUAGCGUUGUUCGGAAUUACUGGGCGUAAAGCGCACGUAGGCGGCUUUGUAAGUUAGAGGUGAAAGCCCGGAGCUCAACUCCGGAAUUGCCUUUAAGACUGCAGAGCUAGCAGGUGAGAGAGGUGAGUGGAAUUCCGAGUGUAGAGGUGAAAUUCGUAGAUAUUCGGAAGAACACCAGUGGCGAAGGCGGCUCACUGGCUCAUUCUAGACGCUGAGGUGCGAAAGCGUGGGGAGCAAACAGGAUUAGAUACCCGGGUAGUCCCUGUCUCUUAUAC
rnacentral:rRNA from 1 species